UCGCUCUAAGAUGAAUCCCAACUCAUCCUCUGGUUAAUAUCAGCCCAAGGUGUGCAGUGGGUUUGUAUUACUCGGUAUGAAAUUCAUAUUGCUGGGCUUAAUCCGUUUCAGAUCCCACAGCUGUCUCUGUGCCAGCUUGACCUGGAGCAGGGAUGCUCUUCCUUUGCUGGAGUCACCGGCGGCACUGACAUUCAGAGGAGAUAAAAGCAAGGCUCCUUCCAUGACCACAGAAAGCCUGAGGUAGAUUUGAGCUUCUUUAGCCCAACGUUUGCCUCGGAAUACCUCCUGGGGUGCUUUAUCUCUAAGGUCAAACCUGACCCCCUUAAGCACAGCCUUCUGUAUGUGUGCAGCUUGGAUCUUGACAUCGGUCAGCAGAAGACGACCGUUUCCCAACCAUUCAGUAGACAUCCACCUACAGCUUCACUGGAAAACUCUGCUCAUUCAAUACAGAACGCAUGCAGAGGACAACAAAAGGGCCCAGGUACUGAGCAUAGCUGCGUUUGGCUUAAACAUAAAGCAUGCCCUGAGCGAUCCCUGGAAGCCAAGCCUCACGUUUCGCACCAUCACUCACGUUCCAGUGCUCCAUCACUCAGGUAUUUCUAACACAAGCAAUGAGAUAAUCUCUGUCCCAUGAGAACUGCUCUGCUGCUGUCUCCCAUGGCUUGAAAGGGGAAGCAGAGCACUGCCUCAUCCCCUGUUAAUCUUUGCAGAGAUCCCUUCUCUGACUCAGUCUCACUAGGGACUGAAGAUCCCUCAAAUGACCUCAAAUCAGGUUCAGGAGGGCACCACUGAUUUGUGUCAAGAAGAGAAGGCCUCAUCUGAAGCUGCAGAGAGCCAUAAACAAAUGGAUAAGAAGAAAUAUGUAUUUUAGCCGCUAACACCCCCAAAGCAGAGUAAAUGAAUGAAACCACAGAGCAAUUGAACCCUCCAGCCUUGAAGAGGGCCCAUUUGGGAAAGCCUGGACAGGACAAGCUCCCCCAAACCACUGCCUGCAAGCACGGGGCAGGUCUGCUGCUGCUGAGCAAGAUGCAGCUAAUUGAAAAGCAAAGCAAGAGCCUGAUCCAGGGAAACCGAGGCCAAUGGAAUGAGCAACAGCGUUCCCUGGCGCGUGAGGAACUACUGAACGCAGACCUGCCAGCUAGCUGACAGCUCCAGGGACGACACACUAAUCUUAUUAAACUCGACCCAAAAGAAAAAGCCUUUUUAGAACUGGGGGAGUCGUGUCCAGCGAAAGCUGGGCUGGAUUAUUCCCUGGUGCCUCGGGGGUUUUUCCAUGUCAUCCCAAGCCUCAGGAAGGGGAUGUGGGAUGGGGAUGGGAUGGUCCGGUCUGCCCAGACCCUGCUGUCCUGCAGGGCUCAGCCCACCUGAAGCUCUGCCUCCUGCAGAUGUGGCUAACAGCUGGCAGCAGGAGCUCACCAGCAGGGUCUUCAUUAGAGGAACUGUUCUCUGGCUGCCUCAGGUGCCCCCCCCCAACCCAGGCCCCUGCUCCAGACACAUCAGCCACAGGCUCCACAACUGCUUCAGAUGGCUUUUCCUUGUGUGCGGUUAUCUGGACUUUUCCAUGCCUUGUUUCUCCCCUGCCCUGCUCCUGACAUCUGACUCACUGGGAGAUUUAUUACCUUUAAAAGCAUUCCUUGUGCAAGCCACACUCCAGAGCUCCCAUCUUCCUGCUCUCACUCUCAGCCCUGGAGCUCAUUUGGGCAUAGGUAUGAAAACCAUACCAUGAAACAGAGUUCUCCUUGGCAAAGCCACCACCUCUCUUUGCACAACGCGGAGAUUCCUCGAGGGAGGAAAGCUCUUUGUAGAGAACUGACCUGGACCACUCAGGAUACCGCUUUCAGCAUCUUCCCCUGUCUCAA